ACGGAAGGUAGCAGUGGGGAAUAUUGCACAAUGGGGGAAACCCUGAUGCAGCGACGCCGCGUGAGUGAAGAAGUUAUUCGUAAUGUAAAGCUCUAUCAGCAGGGAAGAAAAUGACGGUACCUGACUAAGAAGCCCCGGCUAACUACGUGCCAGCAGCCGCGGUAAUACGUAGGUGGCAAGCGUUAUCCGGAUUUACUGGGUGUAAAGGGCGCGUAGGCGGGGAUGCAAGUCAGAUGUGAAAUCUAUGGGCUCAACUCAUAAACUGCAUUUGAAACUGUAUCUCUUGAGUGCUGGAGAGGUAGACGGAAUUCCUUGUGUAGCGGUGAAAUGCGUAGAUAUAAGGAAGAACACCGGUGGCGAAAGCGGUCUACUGGACAGUAACUGACGCUGAGGCGCGAGAGCGUGGGGAGCAAACAGGAUUAGAUACCCUGGUA
rnacentral:rRNA from 1 species